GCCUGGCUGGCUCAGUUAGUAGAGCAUGUGACUCCUGAUCUCAGGGUCAUGGUUCAAACCCCAUGUUAGGUA
rnacentral:tRNA from 1 species